rnacentral:rRNA from 1 species
UACAGAGGGUGCGAGCGUUAAUCGGAAUUACUGGGCGUAAAGCGUGCGUAGACGGCUAUCUAAGUCGGGUGUAAAAGCCCCGGGCUCAACCUGGGAAUUGCAUUCGAGACUGAAUAGCUAGAGUAUGGUAGGGGUAGAGGGAAUUUCCAGUGGAGCGGUGAAAUGCGUAGAUAUUGGAAAGACCACCGAUGGCGAAGGCACUCUACUGGGCCAUUACUGACACUGAGAGACGAAAGCUAGGGGAGCAAAUGGG